rnacentral:rRNA from 1 species
GACGAACGCUGGCGGCGUGCCUAAUACAUGCAAGUCGAACGCAUUUUCUUUCACCGUAGCUUGCUACACCGAGAGAAAAUGGGUGGCGAACGGGUGAGUAACACGUCGGUAACCUGCCCAUCAGCGGGGGAUAACACUUGGAAACAGUUGCUAAUACGGCCUACUUCCAUUUGCUGCAGGUCAUAUGACUGAACGCCGCUUUUGCGGCACUGAUGGAUGGACCUGCGGUGCGUUUUCUAGUUGGGGGGGUACGGGGCUACCAAGGCUGAGAUGCAUGGCCGGGCUGGGAGGGGGGACGGCCACACUGGGACUGAGAAACGGCCCAGACCUCUAAGGGGGGGAGCAGUAGGGAAUCUUCGGCCAGGGACGCAAGGCUGAACGAGGAACGCCGGGGGAGGGAAGAAGGGUUUCGGGUCGUAAAACUCUGUUGUUAGAGAAGAACAAGGAUGAGAGUGGAAAGUUCAUCUCUUGACGGUAUCUAACCAGAAAGCCACGGCUAACUACGUG